AGAGUUUGAUCCUGGCUCAGGAUGAACGCUAGCGGCAGGCUUAACACAUGCAAGUCGAGGGGUAUAGGAAGCUUGCUUCCUAGAGACCGGCGCACGGGUGCGUAACGCGUAUGCAACCUACCUUUUACAGAGGGAUAGCCCAGAGAAAUUUGGAUUAAUACCUCAUAGUAUAUGUUUUUCGCAUGUUAGACAUAUUAAAGUAUCAACGGUAAAAGAUGGGCAUGCGUCCUAUUAGCUAGAUGGUAAGGUAACGGGCUUACCAUGGCAACGAUAGGUAGGGGUUCCUGAGAGGGGAGAUCCCCCCACACUGGUACUGAGACACGGACCAGACUCCUACGGGAGGCAGCAGUGAGGAAUAUUGGACAAUGGGCGCAAGCCUGAUCCAGCCAUGCCGCGUGCAGGAAGAAGCAUCUAUGGUGUGUAAACUGCUUUUGUACGGGAGGAAACACUCCCUCGUGAGGGAGCUUGACGGUACCGUAAGAAUAAGGAUCGGCUAACUCCGUGCCAGCAGCCGCGGUAAUACGGAGGAUCCAAGCGUUAUCCGGAAUCAUUGGGUUUAAAGGGUCCGUAGGCGGUUUAUUAAGUCAGUGGUGAAAUCUGGUCGCUCAACGAUCAAACGGCCAUUGAUACUGAUAGACUUGAAUUACUGGGAAGUAACUAGAAUAUGUAGUGUAGCGGUGAAAUGCUUAGAUAUUACAUGGAAUACCAAUUGCGAAGGCAGGUUACUACCAGUUGAUUGACGCUGAUGGACGAAAGCGUGGGGAGCGAACAGGAUUAGAUACCCUGGUAGUCCACGCCGUAAACGAUGGAUACUAGCUGUUGGGGGCAACUUCAGUGGCUAAGCGAAAGUGAUAAGUAUCCCACCUGGGGAGUACGUUCGCAAGAAUGAAACUCAAAGGAAUUGACGGGGGCCCGCACAAGCGGUGGAGCAUGUGGUUUAAUUCGAUGAUACGCGAGGAACCUUACCAAGGCUUAAAUGUAGAUUGACGUAUUUGGAAACAGAUAUUUCUUCGGACAAUUUACAAGGUGCUGCAUGGUUGUCGUCAGCUCGUGCCGUGAGGUGUCAGGUUAAGUCCUAUAACGAGCGCAACCCCUGUUGUUAGUUGCCAGCGAGUCAAGUCGGGAACUCUAACAAGACUGCCAGUGUAAACUGUGAGGAAGGUGGGGAUGACGUCAAAUCAUCACGGNCCUUACGCCUUGGGCUACACACGUGCUACAAUGGACGGACAGAGAGCANCCCUACGCGAGUAGGAGCGAAUCUAUAAACCGUUCUUNUUCGGAUCGNAGUCUGCGACUCGACUCCGGGANCUGGAAUCGCUAGUAUCGGAUNUCACCCUGAUCGGGGAUACGUUCCGGGC
rnacentral:rRNA from 1 species